GAAAUGUUUAAGCAUUUGGAGAAGCAAGGUGAAGUCCUCAUGGAGGCGCAUCGGGCGAUGUCACAUGAGCUACAUCGGCUUCAGAGGAAGAAAUGCUUAUGCAGAAACUGUAUGAGCUCAUGUAUAUAAAAGGCCUGUUAAAAAAGGAAAAGAGAGGAGACAAUGAUUCAAGUAU